rnacentral:rRNA from 1 species
CUACGCACUCCUACGGGAGGCAGCAUGGGGAAUAUUGCACAAUGGGCGCAAGCCUGAUGCAGCCAUGCCGCGUGUAUGAAGAAGGCCUUACGGGUUGUAAAGUACUUUCAGCAGUGAGGAAGUGGGUAUGUUAAUAGCAUACUCAUUUGACGUUAGCUGCAGAAGAAGCACCGGCUAACUCCGUGCCAGCAGCCGCGGUAAUACGGAGGGUGCGAGCGUUAAUCGGAAUUACUGGGCGUAAAGCGCAUGCAGGUGGUUUGUUAAGUCAGAUGUGAAAGCCCGGGGCUCAACCUCGGAAUUGCAUUUGAAACUGGCAAACUAGAGUACUGUAGAGGGGGUAGAAUUUCAGGUGUAGCGGUGAAAUGCGUAGAGAUCUGAAGGAAUACCGGUGGCGAAGGCGGCCCCCUGGACAGAUACUGACACUCAGAUGCGAAAGCGUGGGGAGCAAACAGGAUUAGAUACCCUGGUAG